rnacentral:rRNA from 1 species
UACGUAGGCAGCGAGCGUUGUUCGGAGUUACUGGGCGUAAAGAGCUCGUAGGCGGUCUGUCGCGUCCGUUGUGAAAACUCGAGGCUCAACCUCGGGCUUGCAGUGGAUACGGGCAGACUAGAGUGCGGUAGGGGAGACUGGAAUUCCUGGUGUAGGCGGUGGAAUGCGCAGAUAGUCAGGAGGAACACCGAUGGCGAAGGCAGGUCUCUGGGCCGCAACUGACGCUGAGGAGCGAAAGCAUGGGGAGCGAACAGG